rnacentral:rRNA from 1 species
GCGGCGGGGAGAGUGCUUGCACUCUCCGCCGGCGACCGGCGCACGGGUGAGUAACACGUAUGCAACCUGCCCCUGUCAGGGGGACAACCUUCCGAAAGGGAGGCUAAUCCCGCGUAUAUGUCCCGGGGGCAUCCCGGGGACAGGAAAGGCUCCGGCCGGACAGGGAUGGGCAUGCGGCGCAUUAGGCAGACGGGGGUGUAACGGACCACCGUACCGACGAUGCGUAGGGGUUCUGAGAGGAAGGUCCCCCACACUGGUACUGAGACACGGACCAGACACCUACGGGAGGCAGCAGUGAGGAAUAUUGGUCAAUGGUCGGGAGACUGAACCAGCCAAGCCGCGUGAGGGAUGAAGGCGCUAAGCGUCGUAAACCUCUUUUGUCAGGGAACAAACGGUCCCACGUGUGGGAUUCUGAGUGUACCUGAAGAAAAAGCAUCGGCUAACUCCGUGCCAGCAGCCGCGGUAAUACGGAGGAUGCGAGCGUUAUCCGGAUUUAUUGGGUUUAAAGGGUGCGCAGGCGGAAGCGCAAGUCAGCGGUAAAAUUGAGAGGCUCAACCUCUUCCCGCCGUUGAAACUGCGUUUCUUGAGUGGGCGAGAAGUACGCGGAAUGCGUGGUGUAGCGGUGAAAUGCAUAGAUAUCACGCAGAACUCCGAUUGCGAAGGCAGCAUACCGGCGCCCAACUGACGCUCAGGCACGAAAGCGUGGGUAUCGAACAGGAUUAGAUACCCUGGUAGUCCACGCAGUAAACGAUGAUUACUAAUUGUCCGGUUCGAAUGAGGACUGGGUGAUACAGCGAAAGCGUUAAGUAAUCCACCUGGGGAGUACGCCGGCAACGGUGAAACUCAAAGGAAUUGACGGGGGCCCGCACAAGCGGAGGAACAUGUGGUUUAAUUCGAUGAUACGCGAGGAACCUUACCCGGGCUCAAACGCAUGAGGACAGUCCCUGAAAGGGGAUCUUCUUCGGACCUUAUGCGAGGUGCUGCAUGGUUGUCGUCAGCUCGUGCCGUGAGGUGUCGGCUUAAGUGCCAUAACGAGCGCAACCCCUAUCGACAGUUGCUAACAGGUUAAGCUGAGGACUCUGUCGAGACUGCCGGCGCAAGCUGUGAGGAAGGCGGGGAUGACGUCAAAUCAGCACGGCCCUUACGUCCGGGGCGACACACGUGUUACAAUGGCAGGUACAGCGGGAAGCCAUGUGGCGACACAGAGCGGAACCCGAAAACCUGUCUCAGUUCGGAUUGGAGUCUGCAACUCGACUCCAUGAAGCUGGAUUCGCUGGUAAUCGCGCAUCAGCCACGGCGCGGUGAAUACGUUCCCGGGCCUUGCACACACCACCCGUCAAG